AUUCUCCUGCGGGUUUUUCUGGGUUUUAAGACAGGGUCUCACUCUGUAGCCCAGACUGGCCUUGAAGCCGUUGUGUGGCUCAGGCUGGACUCGAACUCUUAGCAAUCCUUCUGCCUCUGGCUCAUGCGUGUUGGCUAGUCCAUUUAACUGCUCCUCCACUGUCGUUCUCUGCAGUAUUUGGCUGAUCUGCAACUUUCUCUUGCUCUCUGAGGCCACCCUGGAGGACCCCAACCCCAAACAUGGCAGAUGGGAAGGAUCAGCCAGGUUUAAGAGUUUUGCUGUAUACCCUUGGCUGGCCUCAAACUCACAGACCAAAGGUGUGUGCCACCAUGCCUGGCCAUACGAAUUUUUUUCCUUGGGUUCCAGGGAUGGAAUUCAGGUCCUUGUGUUUGUACUCAUCUGUCUUGUUUCCGCUGCUUUGGAUGCUUCAGACUAGCCACGAGCACGGUUCUUGAUGGUGUGCAACCCUACCACGCUGUGUAGUCCAUCGAGCCAGUGAGUCUAAAUCCAAGAGAUCUGCUGGUCUCUGUUCUCCAGUGUGUGUGUGUGUGUGUGUGUGUGUGUGUGUGUGUGUGUGUGUGUGGUGUGUGUGUAUGUGAGAGAGGGUUAGGAAAAAGGCUAAGCAAAGGAGAUUAGAUUUAAGGUUCUUGUUUAAAAAAAAGAAAAGAAAAAGACAAUUACUAGUUUUAAAUACUUUACAUUGGAUUGGAUUGUUUUAUAUUGUAUACAAAUUAUAUAUAUUGAAAUUGAUAUUGUUAGAAAAUGCUAUAUGUAUAUUUCUAAUUGUACUUAUAUCGUUCAUUUAACAAUGUAAUGCAAUUUUCUGAUCCUUGAAUGUUAUUAUUACCAACUAUUAGGAUAUAAAGAAAUGAAAGUUAGUAGUUAGACAUUAUAAUAGAACUUGUAGUCAUAUUAGGUAUGUUUUAAAAAUUGACCAGAUACAUUUUAGAUAGACAGGUCAUCUUCAAACCGUUCAGAGAUCUACAGAAUAUGGCAUUUAAAAUGUUUUAAUAACUUAGAAAAUGUUUCUUUUUUGUUAUGACUAUGAGACAUGUCGACUCCUGGCAGUACCAAUCUACUUCAGAGAAAAUAUGGGCAUUGAAGAAACUGCAUAUGGAGUUAACUUUCAUUGUGGCAAAAGUUAGCCACUGGAAUCAACAGGACAAAAUGGACAGACAGGACACGAAACAAAGGACUACUGAUUCUUGCCAAAACAAGUGUGGUUAUGGCUUUAUCAAAAGACAUCUUCUGAGGCCAGGACAAUAUGGCACCAUCCCUGAAGUGGCCUUUGCAAUCCGGAAAAGGUACAGUGCCCUUCUCUUUGAAGGCAGCUAAACAGGCAGUGGGCCGAUGGCUUCUGAUGUGCAAUGGAACAACAGCUCAAACAGUUAUUCUUGAAGAGUAACUAAGCUCACGCCUCUCAAUAGUAGACUGGCAUUUGAUGGAGGGAUAUGGAGAAGAAUGGGAUGCUGAGAUGAAGCCGCGUAUACACAGCCAAGAAGAAUGGACAGCUGAAUUAAAAAAACAUCAACAAUUUCCAGAAUUUAAAAUCCUGAAUCAUAGCCGGGCGGUGGUGGCGCACGCCUUUAAUCCCAGCACUCGGGAGGCAGAGCCAGGCGGAUCUCUGUGAGUUCGAGGCCAGCCUGGGCUACCAAGUGAGUUCUAGGAAAAGGCGCAAAGCUACACAGAGAAACCCUGUCUCAAAAAACAAAAAAAACAAACAAACAAACAAAAAAAUCCUGAAUCAUGACAGAACACUAGUGGAAUUCAGGUGUUUCUGGUACAUGGACUGCUCUCACCCAAUGUGAGGUUGAACUGUUGACCUUGUUUACAUUCUACUUCACAAAUGAGUCUGUCAGAUACGCAAAGCCUAUAGACUGAAGAUGAUGCCCCAACAUUUCGGAGAAACCUCAGAUGAUUGUCCAGGCAGCUGGCUGUUUCUGUCAACUCACAAAUUUUUUUGGAAGUUGCUUGCACGCACUUCCUGUUUUUAUUUUUUAUUAGGUAAUAUUAUUUUCCUUCUUGGAUCUCUGAGGAAGUUGAAGAUUAGUUAGUUAUAGUUGAAGGCUAGUUAGGAUAAAAAGUGAAUUAGGUACAUUUUGGACUUACCAAAAUAGGAUAGAUAAUGGAAUUAUUUUCUCUGAAUUUGUCAAAUACAAAUGGACUAGACAUUGUUUAGGUAUUUAUUACUUGUAUAUAUUGCAUAUAGUUAUUGCACUUUUGUAUAUAGUUUUUCUUAUGUUAGUUAUAACCUUUUUCCUUUUUUCUUUUUAUUAAAAUAGAAAAGGGGAAAUAUGGUGGUAUUUUAUUUGUACUGAAAUGUGAUUUUAAUUGUAUGUUAAUAAAUAAAGUUGCCCGGGGGUCAGAGCUAUUAGAACCAUAGCAAAAGCUGGGCGUUGGUGGUGCACGCCUUUAAUCCCAGCACUUGGUAGGCAGAGCUAGGUAGAUCUCUGUGUGUUCAAGGAUACAGCCAGCAUUGGAGACACAUGCCUUUAAUCUCAAUACCAACCAUAGAAGACCUGGAGGUCUAUACAGAUAGGCAGUGACGAGGUAGUCAUGUGGUUGGUUUUACAACCAAUGAGAAGGCAGAACAGAAAGUCUAUAUAAAGACAAACAGACAGGAAGUAGGUCUCUUUCGGAGAGGUCUCUUGGCUGAAGAGGCUAGCUGCAGCAGGCAGGUAAGGCUCUUAGCUCUGAUCUCUUGGCUUUCAUCUUUGCA